CCUACGGGGAGCAGCAGUCGAGAAUCAUUCACAAUGGGGGAAACCCUGAUGGUGCGACGCCGCGUGGGGGAAUGAAGGUCUUCGGAUUGUAAACCCCUGUCAUGUGGGAGCAAAUUAAAAAGAUAGUACCACAAGAGGAAGAGACGGCUAACUCUGUGCCAGCAGCCGCGGUAAUACAGAGGUCUCAAGCGUUGUUCGGAAUCACUGGGCGUAAGGCGUGCGUAGGCUGUUUCGUAAGUCGGGUGUGAAAGGCGCGGGCUCAACCCGCGGACGGCACAUGAUACUGCGAGACUAGAGUAAUGGAGGGGGAACCGGAAUUCUCGGUGUAGCAGUGAAAUGCGUAGAUAUCGAGAGGAACACUCGUGGCGAAGGCGGGUUCCUGGACAUUAACUGACGCUGAGGCACGAAGGCCAGGGGAGCGAAAGGGAUUAGAUACCCGUGUAGUC
rnacentral:rRNA from 1 species